rnacentral:misc_RNA from 1 species
GUGAAGUUGGUAUCAACUCCGGCGAGAACUUUAAGGAAACCCUGGAAGAGUGCGAAUAAAUGAGCUGAAACGCCACCGAUGACCCAAAACUGCUCAUUUCGCCACCAGUCAUCAAUGGAUACACCUCCCCAGUACAUCUCGACAAUCCCAGUUGCGGCUAUAGAGAUGAAGAGAGCAAGGUAGACUAUGCUCGCAUAGACAUCAAGCUGGGGAACUAUGAAUUUCUCGGACAGAAGACAGAUUGCCGGCAAGGUACAGUAGACAACCAAAGGAAUGGAUGUCCAAGGAUAGACAACAGAAUUUAUAUACGAAAAUCGCUCCAACCACUUCAAUCCACCUCUGUAUCCAUACCAUAUAGGGCAGUGCUUGCUUAAAAAUAUUUCAACAGACCCGAGGGCCCAG